rnacentral:rRNA from 1 species
GACGAACGCUGGCGGCGUGGAUUAGGCAUGCAAGUCGAACGGUAUCAUCCUUUCGGGGGUGAGAGAGUGGCGAACUGGUGAGUAACACGUAGGUUAUCUACCCUCAAGACGGGGACAACCCAGGGGAAACUUGGGCUAAUACCGGAUGUGAGCAACUUUUAGUUGUUUGAAAGGUGGCGUAAGCGUGUCGCUUGGGGAUGAGCCUGCGUCCUAUUAGUUAGUUGGUGAGGUAACGGCUCACCUAGGGCAAUGAUAGGUAGGCGGCCUUAACGGGUGGUCGCCCACACUGGGAUUGAGAUACGGCCCAGACUCCUACGGGAGGCAGCAGUCGAGAAUAGUCUACAAUGGUCGGAAGACUGAUAGUGCGACGCCGCGUGAACGAUGAAUCCCUUCGGGGUGUAAAGUUCUUUUAUAUGUGAGCAGUGCUUCUUAUAUUAACAGUAUGGGGAGAGAGAUAUUAGCAUAUGAAUAAGCAACGGCUAACUCCGUGCCAGCAGCCGCGGUAAU